GACGAACCGUGCGAACGUUAUUCGGAAUCACUGGGCUUAAAGCGCGUGUAGGCGGAUGGGAACGUCGGUCGUUGAAAUCCCCCGGCUCAACCGGGGAAUGGGCGCCGAAACGACCCGUCUGGAGGAACGUAGGGGGACCUGGAACUUCCGGUGGAGCGGUGAAAUGCGUUGAGAUCGGAAGGAACGCCCGUGGCGAAAGCGAGGUCCUGGACGUCUACUGACGCUGAGACGCGAAAGCUAGGGGAGCGAACGGG
rnacentral:rRNA from 1 species